rnacentral:rRNA from 1 species
UACAGAGGGUGCAAGCGUUGUUCGGAAUCAUUGGGCGUAAAGCGCACGUAGGCGGAUGUGCCAGUCAGGGGUGAAAUCCCGGAGCUCAACUUCGGAACUGCCCUUGAUACAGCACGUCUUGAGUCCGAGAGAGGUGGAUGGAAUUCCUAGUGUAGAGGUGAAAUUCGUAGAUAUUCGGAGGAACACCAGUGGCGAAGGCGGCUCACUGGUCCGGUACUGACGCUGAGGUGCGAAAGCGUGGGGAGCAAACAGG